rnacentral:rRNA from 1 species
CCACCUAGAGGAGCCUGUUCUGUAAUCGAUAAUCCACGAUCCACCCAACCACCUCUUGCCAACACAGCCUACAUACCGCCGUCGCCAGCCCACCUAAAAUGAAAGAUCAAUAGUGAGCUCAAUAGUCCCCACUAACAAGACAGGUCAAGGUAUAGCCCAUGAGGUGGAAGAAAUGGGCUACAUUUUCUAACAUAGAACAGACGAAAAAGGGCGUGAAACUCGCCCUUGGAAGGAGGAUUUAGCAGUAAAGUAAGACCAUACUUCUCUUAAGCCUACUUAAAGACGGCCCUGGGGCACGUACAUACCGCCCGUCACCCUCCUCACAAGCUAUCAAUUUCAAUAAAUAAUACCCAACCCUAGCUAAAGAUGAGGUAAGUCGUAACAAGGUAAGCGUACCGGA